GGAAGGGAUCUCUGGGAAGACUGCGGGUUUGGAGAGGCCUUGAGCCCGAGCUUUGGACACCGUGGAGGGACGUGGUCUGGUUCGUCACACUGAACCUGAGGACACAGCUGAUGCCUCUGAGUAGCACUCUGAUGUUCCCAGUUCCUCCUCUCUUGCACAGCAUUAAAAAGUCUGGAUAAAAGUGACCCUAGAUGCCCAGAGAGAUUCUGCCGCCACACACACGCAGUCACAGCGGCUCUCACCAGCCUCGGCUCUGGCUCAUCCAGCGUGACUGAAGCACCCCACUGAGAGCUCAGAUGUCAGAGGUUGGCCUUCACCAUCAUAACCUCUACAGACGUGUCCUCCGGUCUUUCACAGCUCUGACCUCAGUGUACUGGACCCUGCAGAUGCAUGUGACCUUCCCAUGAAGUGCAUUUGGAAAAGUCCCGCCAGUUCGGUUCUUGGAAAGCACGCCUCAAUGACGCACAUCAAAAUUCAAUCACACACGAGCACCAUCCAGGCACCCAACUCCACCCCCUUGUUGACUUG